rnacentral:rRNA from 1 species
UACGGGGGGGGCAAGCGUUGUUCGGAAUUACUGGGCGUAAAGGGCUCGUAGGCGGCCAACUAAGUCGGAUGUGAAAUCCCCGGGCUUAACCUGGGAACUGCAUUGGUGACUGGCGGGCUAGAGUAUGGCAGAGGGGGGUAGAAUUCCACGUGUAGCAGUGAAAUGCGUAGAGAUGUGGAGGAAUACCGAUGGCGAAGGCAGCCCCCUGGGCCAAUACUGACGCUCAUGCACGAAAGCGUGGGGAGCAAACAGG